UGAUAUCACUAUUGCUUAAACAUCAGUGAAGAAGCUACCAAGCAAAUGAGAAAGUUACAAGUUCUAGCGGCUGCACUGAACUGCCUGUUACAGAGACAUCAGGCAGGAUAAACAAGUGUACAACAUUGUGAAAGCACUUUUUAACAGCCAGGCCUCCAACUCCGACCAAGUGUGCUAAAGGCUGAUAAGAGUGCUCUUUGAGAGAACAAUUCAUGGGUUACAAGAAGCAUUAAAUGUGUGUGGAGAAACAUCUUGAAACCUCAAAUCCUGCAGAGUUGUUUUGGAUUAAGGGGGAGGAAAAGGAUGGGACUCUUGUCUAAACGUCAGGUAUAGACAGACAUACCCCAGAGUUGUGGCACCCAUUAAUAGAUCAAGCAAGGCUGUGCAGCUGUGUUUUGAUCAGUGGAAAGGUUUCCUGGCAUCCAAGAACUGAAAUCACCUUUUGGGUAUGACAAGUGCAUCUAAGUAUCUAGCAAGUGAAAAUCAAGGGUUUCUGUAAGGAAGGAGUAA
rnacentral:lncRNA from 1 species